rnacentral:rRNA from 1 species
CCGCACAAGCAGCGGAGCGUGUGGUUUAAUUCGAUGCUACGCGAAGAACCUUACCUGGGCUUGACAUGUACGUAGUAGUGAAGCGAAAGUGGAACGACCCUUCGGGGAGCGUACACAGGUGCUGCAUGGCUGUCGUCAGCUCGUGUCGUGAGAUGUUGGGUUAAGUCCCGCAACGAGCGCAACCCUCGCUGUUAGUUACACGUGUCUAACGGGACUGCCGGUAUAAAACCGGAGGAAGGUGGGGAUGACGUCAAGUCAGCAUGGCCUUUAUGUCCAGGGCUACACA